rnacentral:rRNA from 1 species
AAUGGGCGGAAGCCUGAACCAGCCAUGCCGCGUGCAGGAAGACGGCCCUACGGGUUGUAAACUGCUUUUCUGCGGGAAGAACGGCCCCUACGCGUAGGGGUAUGACGGUACCGCAGGAAUAAGGAUCGGCUAACUCCGUGCCAGCAGCCGCGGUAAUACGGAGGAUCCGAGCGUUAUCCGGAUUUACUGGGUUUAAAGGGUGCGUAGGCGGCUCCCUCAGUCAGCGGGGAAAUGUGUCGGCUCAACCGACAACCUGCCGUGGAUACUGGGGAGCUUGAGUUGGGUUGAGGCAGGCGGAAUGUGCGGUGUAGCGGUGAAAUGCUUAGAUAUCGCACAGAACGCCGAUUGCGUAGGCAGCUUGCCAAGCCCACACUGACGCUGAGGCACGAAAGCGUGGGGAUCAAA